rnacentral:rRNA from 1 species
UACGAGGGGUGCAAGCGUUGCUCGGAAUUAUUGGGCGUAAAGGGUAGGUAGGUGGUCUCGUUUGUCUGGGGUGAAAGCCUUGAGCUUAACUCAAGAAGUGCCCUAGAAACGGCGAGACUAGAGUCCUGGAGAGGGUCGUGGAAUUCCCGGUGUAGCGGUGAAAUGCGCAGAUAUCAGGAGGAACACCGGUGGCGAAGGCGGGUCUCUGGGCAGUAACUGACGCUGAGGAGCGAAAGCGUGGGGAGCGAACAGG